rnacentral:tRNA from 1 species
GGCGCCGUUGGCGCGCUUGCUGCGCGUCGCAGCUCGCAGCUGCGCGGCGUGCCGGUGCGGGGUCGGUCGCUGUCACC